rnacentral:lncRNA from 1 species
UUUGAUGAAUAUGGUCCUUUUUCUUUUUCUGGAAAAGAAAUGUUUCGAGGAAAUACAUAGUUAAUUAUAUGUAUUUCAGAAAGGUAGUCUGCUUACGGUGUUCCCCACAACCCUGUGAGUGCUCCCUAGAUCUUGUGUGCCUUCGAACAUUCGUGCUCCCUAAACUCUUCUAUUCCUUGACCACAGCUGCUAGAAAGUCUUUUAAUCACCACAUCCUUCCCAUCUUG